rnacentral:rRNA from 1 species
UACGUAGGGUGCGAGCGUUGUCCGGAAUUAUUGGGCGUAAAGAGCUUGUAGGCGGUUUGUCGCGUCUGCUGUGAAAAUCCGGGGCUCAACUCCGGACUUGCAGUGGGUACGGGCAGGCUAGAGUGCUGUAGGGGAGACUGGAAUUCCUGGUGUAGCGGUGGAAUGCGCAGAUAUCAGGAGGAACACCGAUGGCGAAGGCAGGUCUCUGGGCCACUACUGACGCUGAGAAGCGAAAGCAUGGGGAGCGAACAGG